GCGCCUGUGGCUCAAACGGAUAGAGCAUCUGACUUCGGAUCAGAGGGUUGGGGGUUCGAGUCCCUCCAGGCGUG
rnacentral:tRNA from 1 species